GAGACGCUCUGCUGAACUGCUAACUCACCCCACCGGAU
rnacentral:tRNA from 1 species